GCCGCGGUAAAACCAGCACCUCAAGUGGUCAGGAGGAUUAUUGGGCCUAAAGCAUCCGUAGCCGGCUCUGUAAGUUUUCGGUUAAAUCCAUGUGCUCAACGCAUGGGCUGCCGAAAAUACUGCAUAGCUAGGGAGUGGGAGAGGUAGACGGUACUCGGUAGGAAGGGGUAAAAUCCUUUGAUCUAUCGAUGACCACCUGUGGCGAAGGCGGUCUACCAGAACACGUUCGACGGUGAGGGAUGAAAGCUGGGGGAGCAAACCGGAUUAGAUACCCGGGUAGUCCCAGCUGUAAACGAUGCAGACUCGAUGAUGCAUUGGCAUAUAGCCAGUGCAGUGUCGCAGGGAAGCCGUUAAGUCUGCCGCCUGGGAAGUACGUACGCAAGUAUGAAACUUAAAGGAAUUGGCGGGGGAGCA
rnacentral:rRNA from 1 species